rnacentral:rRNA from 1 species
GAUGAACGCUGGCGGCGUGCUUAACACAUGCAAGUCGAACGAUAAAGCCCAGCUUGCUGGGUGGAUUAGUGGCGAACGGGUGAGUAACACGUGAGUAACCUGCCCUUGACUCUGGGAUAAGCCCGGGAAACUGGGUCUAAUACCGGAUAGGAGCGCCUGUCGCAUGACGGGUGUUGGAAAGAUUUUUCGGUCAUGGAUGGACUCGCGGCCUAUCAGCUUGUUGGUGAGGUAAUGGCUCACCAAGGCGACGACGGGUAGCCGGCCUGAGAGGGUGACCGGCCACACUGGGACUGAGACACGGCCCAGACUCCUACGGGAGGCAGCAGUGGGGAAUAUUGCACAAUGGGCGGAAGCCUGAUGCAGCGACGCCGCGUGAGGGAUGACGGCCUUCGGGUUGUAAACCUCUUUCAGUAGGGAAGAAGCGAAAGU